rnacentral:tRNA from 1 species
GAGGGUAUAGCUCAGUGGUAGAGCAUAUGCUUAGCAUGCACAAAGUCAUGGGUCCAAUCCCAGUACCUCCA